AAUACAUACUGAAAGAUUGCCGUGUUAAUAAUGGAGAUUCAACAAACUGCACAAAGCUUAUAAAGAGUACAUGAAUGUUUAGCAAAGAGAAGAAAUACAGCUUUGAUAAUCAAGUGUAAAAUCCAUUUGCAAAUCUUACAGGGUAAGCUUGAUGAUUACCAGGAACGAAUGAACAAAGGGGAAAGGCUUAAUCAAGAUCAGCUGGAUGCCGUUUCUAAGUACCAGGAAGUCACAAAUAAUUUGGAGUUUGCAAAAGAAUUACAGAGGAGUUUCAUGGCACUAAGUCAAGAUAUUCAGAAAACAAUAAAGAAGACAGCACGUCGGGAGCAGCUUAUGAGAGAAGAAGCUGAACAGAAACGUUUAAAAACUGUACUUGAGCUACAGUAUGUUUUGGACAAAUUGGGAGAUGAUGAAGUGCGGACUGACCUG
rnacentral:sRNA from 1 species